UGUGUGCUCAAAAUUGGUUAUGGAGUGAAAUCAACGGUUCUUCAACUAUGUCUGGAGAUUGUACACUUCAAUCAAUUCUUGAUGAUGGGGAGCCUAAUGAAGAGGAUGGGAGUUGUGUCACAAUUGUGGAUGAUUAGACAUUUUGUAUUAAUUUAGUAGCCUUUUUAAUUUCUUAGACUUGUUGGAUUAAUUUGUUGGUUUGUAAUUAUUCUAAGCCUUUUUAGCCUUUUGUAAUUUCUUAGCCUUUUUAAUUUGUUGGUUUGUGGAGGAUAAGACAUUUUGUAAUUUCUUAGCCUUUUUAAUUUCUUAGACUUGUGGGAUU